AAUGGCCGCGGUACUUUGACCGUGCUAAGGUAGCAUAAUCAAUUGACUUUUGAAUGAAGUCUGGAAUGAAGGGGGACACGGGAAUUAGCUGUCUAAUGCUUUUAAUUUGAAUUUACUAACUAAGUGAAAAGGCUUAGGAAAGAUAAAAGACGAGAAGACCCUAAGAGUUUAAAUAAUUUUGUUGGGGCGACAUAGGGUCAAAUAACACCCUAAACUAUUAAGACGGAUUUUUCAUGAUUAGAAAAACUACCUUAGGGAUAACAGCAUAAUCUUUUUGAGUUUGUGACCUCGAUGUUGGACUAGGAAGCUUUUAGGCUAGCUGCUUAAUUUGGGGAUUCUGUUCGAAUUUUUACUCCU
rnacentral:rRNA from 1 species